AAAAGAGUAAAAAAAAAAGUUAACUCUGCAAAGAAUGGGGGGAAUUAAGCAGUUAAACAUUGGAAAAGUGUUAAAAAGGAAAAGUGUUAAAGAAAAAGAAAAUUCUUGGUUUCUUUCCAGCCAUUCUGAAGGAAAAAUGGGCCUUUUUCCAAAGGAAUGUCUGUAAAUAAUCCAGGCAAAGAGACUAUCUAACUAAAAUCAUUUGACUAUGAACAAUUUAGUCAAACUCGCUAAAAGAAUAUAAGGGGGUUCUAUUGGAACCUGACUGCCCCAAAUGUACAAAGGGAAUGUAAUUUAUAUACAGCUAUGUAAAAACAGAUCAGAGUAUGUUGCAGAAGAGGUAAAAGAAAUGCAAACAUACCAUGCUAUUUAAUUACAAUCCUAUUAGGGCUCCAAAGGGAGCCAUAAUAGGUUGUGUUUUCUUUUUCAGAUUUUUGUAUGUUUUAAAAGCAGGAGUUAAAAGUGAACAGUAAUCAAAGCUCUGGUGAAAGUUGGUUGUGUCCCUUUUAAGACAGAGUCUCUGAGCUGCUAAUGGCUUUGAAUCCAAAAGCAAGCCAGAAAGCACCUGUGUUAAUGCAAAUUACCUAACUGAUAAAGGUAGACGCCAUUGAAACCUGACCUGCCUAUAGAACAAACACAGGAAAAUAUGGGGGUAAUUCCUCUGUUUUGCCUGUAAUCAGCAAGGGUAUUUGUAAAAGAAAAAAAUAUUUUAAGCAAUAAUCUGCCACCCCCAAAGGGAUAGAAAUAAGUUUUUCUUGUCUUU